UUUUGGUCGAUUUGUUUUGACGUUUGAAGAGUGAGGGGUUAUUUUGGGAAGAUGGCCCAUCAGUGUUGUGCUGGCCUUGUAUGGGGAAAAGUUCUGAAGAAGGACACCGUUGAGGUGUUUCCUAAAAAUGUGCUGAUGGGAUUGCUGUGAUGUUCUCUGGAUAUGCAUUCCACGGCAAGUCUUCCACAGCUGAAAAUCCUUUGUUCCCAUUUUUCAUGUGAUUUAUUUGCAUUCUUGUGAUUUAUUUUGGUCUGAAGGACUGCAAGUGCCUUUCAUGUUCAUAGAUCGAAUGGUGAUUUGGAGCAGAGUGGAAUGAACUUUUGGAGCGUAGGGAUGGGUACUCAGGCAUGGGCAAGGUGGUUCUGUUCCCAAUAACAGUGUUAAAACCUUUUCUCUUUACAGGUAUGGUUCCUGAGCUACCAUUAACAUUCAGGUGGUGAUUUUGUAAUUUUUGCGUAGAGAUCCUUUGGUGGAAAAUGCUGGUACUUAUUUAUUAUGCAUAUGAAAAAUAGAGCACAAAAGGAAUAAGGUGCUUGUAGGACCGUGCUGUAGAUCUGCCAGGCUAAUAUUACAGCUGCCUUUGCAGGAAGGCUAUCUUGGUGUAUUAUCUAUCAGCACCACGCAAACAAAACAUUAUCACAUGGGUACAGAAGUUUGCUUUGUAAGCAGGUAAAUCAUUGAAAUCAUCCAAAUACGAAGUUUUAUCUCUCCUUCAUUCUUUCUUCAAGUGUUCAUACAUGUAUGAAUGUCUGUGUAUCUUUGCCCUUGUGCCAGUCAUUUUGAGCACAAACACUGCUGGUAGCAGCAGCAGUUGUAUCUCACGAGGCCAACACUGUAAUUAGUGAGAUUUGAGGCAUAAAUACUGAGACAAAUUUAAGUUUCUAAUAUCAGAAAUGAAGAUCCAGUCUUUGUUCAAAAAGGGGAUGAGGGGUGGCAGUACUUUAAAGCUUCACAGUCUGACACUGGAAAGGAAUUCACAAUGUAUUUUUAGAGUGUUAUAAAAAUCUCUUACAUAAUGCUCAUUAAUUCUUAGGUUUUAGGGAAGAGCACUGGGCUUUGUGUAUAAGAGUGUUGACCAGCUAAGCCACUGAAAGGGUCUGGUUUGGGCUGGAUUUUUUUUUUUCUUUUAACUUCUUGGAUGCAAAAAGCUGCAAUUACUCAAUUAUUACGGGGUUUUGCUUUUGUUUGGGAGUGCAUGAAUAUUUUUCUGGAAACUGUGUCUUAUUUUUGGAAGUCUUUAUCGCUUUAAAACAUAUGUUAUAUCACCCUGUCUGAGAUACAGGAUAGCUACAAACUGGGUGGGGUUUUCUUUUUUUCCCCUCCCUCUUACUGCAGUUAGUUACGUUAUGGAUUAACGUUUAGGAAUAUCUGCAGUGAAACAUUACUUGUGUAGCUGUGUAAGACUUACUUAAGCAAUUUAACUUAUGUUACAGGAUCAUGACUUUCCUCAUAGUAAUGCAUGCAAUUACUAUAUAGUUCUUCCUAUCCUGUUGAUUUUCAGAAUCAUCAAUUAGUCUUAACUGCCAGGUCCUCACACAGCUCUUAACAAAGGGCUAUUCAGCAAAUUAAGUCGGUUAAAUGAUACUCCCUAAUUUUAAUUCUAGUUAUAUAUAGUUAUCUCUUUUUGAACAGACACGUGACCAAGGCAGCUUUGAAGCCUUUCUGAAGAGUCCUUCUUGCUUCCGUAGGAUGUUAAAUCUUUCUGUGGAGUUUCCAGCUAUGCACUUCAUUCUACAGAGUUUAACUUUUGUGCCAUACCAAUAAGUAAAAAUUGCUCAGCAACAACCACAAUUUCUUCCUGUCUGUGAAGAGGAAGCAAGGAUGCUUUGCAGCCUCCUGUCACCCAUUUAUUUCAUCCACAAAGGAAACAGGGAGAAGCUGAAGAUAAUUCAGCUUAGAAAUAAUACUUGGUAAGACUGAAUAUUUCCUUAGCUUAUUGCUCUCAUUGGCAGUAUGUUUGCUCACACUUUUAAGUACUCUGGCUUCCAGUUUGUGUUCACAUGCAAUUCAGAGUGUCAGAAAUCAUCUGUAAAGGGCACACAGUGACACACAGUCUAAGUCUUUCUUAGUUCAUACAGUGGAAAAAUACAUGUUUAUAAGUACUGGUUUUCUCUGUAUUAACUCUAACUAUUUCAUUCUCUGGUGUCUUAUAUGGUUUCAGAUCUGCUUGAUAUUAUUUCCACCAAAGAGGCUUUCACAACAUCUUGCUCGCUAGCUCUCACACACAGAAGCUCAUGUGCUGGCUAAAGGUUGAACUCAUGUUGCCUUUCAUGUAGAAAAGCUCAGAUACAGUCUCCCUCUUCUCCCCAGCCACAUAUUUUCUCUUACAGAACUGGAAUUGCCACUCUUCCUUUUGUCAAAUUUGCUUGAUAAUUGGGUAAUGGGUUAAAAUUAUGACUGACAAUCACAUAAACACUCACAGCAUGUGGGAUUGCCCUCAUUUCUUUGGUUGGCAUGGCUAAAACUGGUCAUUUUAAACUAUCUGAGUGAAACUAUAUGUUACCAGACAACCCAGCCUGUGGAAAAAAAAAAUUAAAAAGCCUCAAUUACUAAUCAUUUGAAGGACAGCUGAAAGUCACCAUUGCUGGUUCACUGAUGUGUCACAUCAGGAAUGUGAUUCUUUUUGCUGUAUGUGCCAAUAACUUGAAGAAAAAGAGCUUGAAAGCUGGAGAUGCAGGUGGAUGUGAGGCCAAAUUAGACCCCGAUCCUACACAAAACUCCACACGGGGAGAUUGAUUUUCCUUGGCACUUUCAGCAUAUAGUGCUAUGUAAAA